CUGCUGGUUCCAGAUUGAGGUUGACCUUGAACACGUUUGACCCACACGUCAAGGACGAUUUUCUCAUCAAGCGUUUCCAUAAGUGGCAGGAGUCCGUACGAAUAAGCGAAGACUUUAAACCAUAUCAGCUGGUGAGUGAGGGAGACUACUUGUCUGUACAAUACUGGGCUUCAUGGGAGACAACCACAAACAAGGGAAUUAACUUUACAGUGGAUGUUGUUCUAGCUAAAGAGAUGUGUUACGAUGUGGCGACAAAAGGGGCAGACUACUACGGUGAGAAAUCUGUUACAGAAACUUUCGAGCCUUGCGUCCCUUGGGAGAAAGCCACAUCUUGUGAUGACUUCCCCUUU